AGCACGCGGCCUUCCUCUCUUCGAUCCCCAAUCCGGCUACAGAGAUGGCUUCUCCCACGCCGGCCUUCUUCCUCGCCCCUGAUGCCGCUGCUGUCUCCUCUUCGGUGAGUGCGGAGGAGCCACCGCCGUCGAGGCAGCCGCCGGCUGGAGCCCCGCCUCUUCUCCUCUCCGGUCGCCGUGGAGGUCUGUCGCGUCCAACCUCCUCGACGCCGCCUAGGCGGCCCAUCUCUUCCUCCCAUGGCCAUGGCCAUGGCGAGCCUGCAAGAGGUGCAGCAGCAGAUCUUCGAGUACAACGGCUCCGCACCCUGCAGCCACCGGUCCGGGAGAGCGUAGCGCCGGUUCGGGUGUCCUGCGCCAACCAGAGCGCGCCCCAGGUGCUCGACAGAACGCCCGCUGCACCACCUGGUCUUAACUUUCUUUCCCUUUGCCAAGCUGAGGGAGAGGGCUAGGGGCUCGGGUGGUGCAGUGGCUGUAAGAAUACGCUCGGGAACGUCGAGUCAUGUCUACUAGGGCGGCAUCCGCGGCUGUCGUCGUAGGCUACUUCAUCUACAAAGGCUCCAAGCUCGCCCACGACUCCACUGCCCUCCAGGUUAUGUCCGAAUGCUCGCUCCCUCCUCCCCUCAGAUCCACUAGCCUGUUGGUUGGAAUCAGUGGAUAUUCACAUGAUGUAUACACGGAACUGCAGUUCACAUCUUUGUCCUGAAUCAUAAUGAGUAUCUUUUCUUGCCAUUGAUUUCUGCACGUAUGGUUCAGCUGCCAUGUCUAGAUCUAAAAGUUCAUCUGGCUUAUGGUGCAUCUCAAUCAUGGAUGAAAAAAAUGUCAAAAUCCUAGCUUAUAGACACUGUACUAAUGUGGGUGGAUACAAUUUCAGAAGAUGAAACUUCAAUCAAAUGAGAAGGCAAAAUUAUAUUGAUUGCUGUCUUCCAUACUUUUCCUGAAUCAUAAUGCUGAACUUUUCUAUGGAUUUAUGUGUCUUUAUUUAAGUUAGCUCAUGAUAGCUCAUCAUGAGCUAUAGGUUCAGUUGGUUUGUUUGUUGGAUGCCUGGUCUUUCUUGUCAUUUUUGACAACCUUUUGAUUUGUAUCUUGAGCCACAUUUUCUACUUGUCUUUUCAAUGUGAGAAUACCAGACAUGAAAUGAUGCAUAUGCACUAUGAUACCUGGAUCACUUUAAAUUCAGGAUUAUUCAUC